UGGGGAAUUUUGGACAAUGGGCGAAAGCCUGAUCCAGCAAUGCCGCGUGUGUGAAGAAGGCCUUCGGGUUGUAAAGCACUUUUGUCCGGAAAGAAAUCCUUGGCUCUAAUACAGUCGGGGGAUGACGGUACCGGAAGAAUAAGCACCGGCUAACUACGUGCCAGCAGCCGCGGUAAUACGUAGGGUGCAAGCGUUAAUCGGAAUUACUGGGCGUAAAGCGUGCGCAGGCGGUUUGCUAAGACCGAUGUGAAAUCCCCGGGCUCAACCUGGGAACUGCAUUGGUGACUGGCAGGCUAGAGUAUGGCAGAGGGGGGUAGAAUUCCACGUGUAGCAGUGAAAUGCGUAGAGAUGUGGAGGAAUACCGAUGGCGAAGGCAGCCCCCUGGGCCAAUACUGACGCUCAUGCACGAAAGCGCGGGGAGCAAACAGGAUUAGAUACCCCUGGUAGUCCACGCCCUAAACGAUGUCAACUAGUUGUUGGGGAUUCAUUUCCUUAGUAACGUAGCUAACGCGUGAAGUUGACCGCCUGGGGAGUACGGUCGCAAGAUUAAACUC
rnacentral:rRNA from 1 species